AUGUCUUUUGUGAUGUCCUGGGCAUGUUUGACAUCUGUGCCUUGUCCUUGUCAUCUUGUGCUUGUGAUAAGUGCAGGUGCCCAGAGUUCAGACCCUGCACCAAACUCAAUCACAGCCCCCAAACUUCCCUCCAUCACAGUAAUCCCACUGCUCUAUGUUGUGGCUGAGGGUUGUCUCCAGGGCUCUUAUGGGAAGCAAAAGACCAAAUGUGCUCUACCCACCCCACAGGUAUGGACAGGACUGACUGGCAUCUGGGAACAGUGCUGGAAAAGUGAAGAAGUUUUGUUAAAAGCCUACAGGUUUUCAUGGAAAAUAAAGUGAUGAGAAAUGAGAGGUGUUUGAUAGAUGGGCUAAUUUCCCUACCUGACAACCCAGACAGUGUGAUACAAAAAAAACCCACCAUUUGUUGUUUUGUUUUUCAUCCCCUCUGUGCAUGUGUGCAUGCAUACGUUCAGGAGGGAAGAUGCUGCUUUCACAUAUUAAUGCACGCAUGUAUCUCUACCAUCCAUUAACAAAACUAUCUGGAAAAAGGGAAAAAGUUUAUAUACUUAUUAUUUUCCCCAGCAUUUGUCAGCUGAAAGCAAUUAAAAACAUCCCAGAGAAGACAAAAGGGAGCAUUGCCCUCUUCCAGCCCAUUCAGAGAGGGGAAGGUUCUUGCGAACUUAAAUGAGUUUGACAACCUUUAAAUAUAAACAGCUGAUCUGACUGCUGAGAAAUUAAAAAAAAAAAAAGAAGAAGAAGAAAAGGAGAAUAAAAAGUUCCUGAGAAGGUCAGCAAUGGAGUUCCAGCCACGUCACCAUUUGUAGCACAGUUCAAAUGACAAGGACAAAGGGACAUAAUAAGGUCUUGGUAAGAGGCAUGGGCUGGAGGUAAGAUUACAUGUUAUGAUCCUUUGGAUUACUUAUACCUACAAACAUGAUCCUGUCCCAUGUACAGACGUAGGAAAUGGUAUUAAAGCUUCUGCAUUUGUUGCAGCCAAAUUCAGGGCAUUGUAAGUCUGUACUGCAGCUCUG
rnacentral:lncRNA from 1 species